rnacentral:rRNA from 1 species
GACCUUUCCCGGGGGUGCCUAAUACAUGCAAGUCGAGCGGACAGAUGGGAGCUUGCUCCCUGUAUGUCAGCGGCGGACGGGUGAGUAACACGUGGGUAACCUGCCUGUAAGACUGGGAUAACUCCGGGAAACCGGGGCUAAUACCGGAUGCUUGAUUGAACCGCAUGGUUCAAUUAUAAAAGGUGGCUUUUAGCUACCACUUACAGAUGGACCCGCGGCGCAUUAGCUAGUUGGUGAGGUAACGGCUCACCAAGGCAACGAUGCGUAGCCAACCUGAGAGGGUGAUCGGCCACACUGGGACUGAAACACGGCCCAAACUCCUACGGGAGGCAGCAGUAGGGAAUCUUCCGCAAUGGACAAAAGUCUGACGGAGCAACGCCGCGUGAGUGAUGAAGGUUUUCGGAUCGUAAAACUCUGUUGUUAGGGAAAAACAAGUACCGUUCGAAUAGGGCGGUACCUUGACGGUACCUAACCAAAAAGCCACGGCUAACUACGUGCCAGCAGCCGCGGUAAUACGUAGGUGGCAAGCGUUGUCCGGAAUUAUUGGGCGUAAAGCGCGCGCAGGCGGUUUCUUAAGUCUGAUGUGAAAGCCCCCGGCUCAACCGGGGAGGGUCAUUGGAAACUGGGGAACUUGAGUGCAGAAGAGGAGAGUGGAAUUCCACGUGUAGCGGUGAAAUGCGUAGAGAUGUGGAGGAACACCAGUGGCGAAGGCGACUCUCUGGUCUGUAACUGACGCUGAGGCGCGAAAGCGUGGGGGAGCGAACAGGAUUAGAUACCCUGGUAGUCCACCGCCGUAAACGAUGAGUGCUAAGUGUUAGAGGGUUUCCGCCCUUUAGUGCUGCAGCAAACGCAUUAAGCACUCCGCCUGGGGAGUACGGUCGCAAGACUGAAACUCAAAGGAAUUGACGGGGGCCCGCACAAGCGGUGGAGCAUGUGGUUUAAUUCGAAGCAACGCGAAGAACCUUACCAGGUCUUGACAUCCUCUGACAACCCUAGAAGAAUAGGGCUUCCACUUCGAGGGCAGAGUGACAGGUGGUGCCAUGGUUGUCGUCAGCUCGUGUCGUGAGAUGUUGGGUUAAGUCCCGCAACGAGCGCAACCCUUGAUCUUAGUUGCCAGCAUUCAGUUGGGCACUCUA